UACGAGGGGGGCAAAUGUUGUUCGGAAUCACUGGGCGUAAAGGGGAGCGUAGGCGGGUUUCUAAGUCAGGUGUUUAAUCCCGGGGCCCAACCCCGGACAGGCACUUGAAACUGGGAAUCUUGAAUAGUGGAGAGGUCAGUGGAAUUGGGGGUGUAGCGGUGGAAUGCGUAGAGAUCCCCAAGAACACCAGUUGCGAAGGCGGCUGACUGGACACAUAUUGACGCUGAUGCACGAAAGCUGGGGGAGCAAACAGG
rnacentral:rRNA from 1 species